rnacentral:rRNA from 1 species
AUACUGCAAGUCGAGCGGACUUUUAAAGCUUGCUUUUGAAAGGUCAGCGGCGGACGGGUGAGUAACACGUGGGCAACCUGCCUGUAAGACUGGGAUAACUUCGGGAAACCGGAGCUAAUACCGGAUAAUAUAAGGAACCUCCUGGUUCUUUAUUGAAAGAUGGUUUCGGCUAUCACUUACAGAUGGGCCCGCGGCGCAUUAGCUAGUUGGUGAGGUAACGGCUCACCAAGGCGACGAUGCGUAGCCGACCUGAGAGGGUGAUCGGCCACACUGGGACUGAGACACGGCCCAGACUCCUACGGGAGGCAGCAGUAGGGAAUCUUCCACAAUGGACGAAAGUCUGAUGGAGCAACGCCGCGUGAGCGAUGAAGGCCUUCGGGUCGUAAAGCUCUGUUGUUAGGGAAGAACAAGUGCGAGAGUAACUGCUCGCACCUUGACGGUACCUAACCAGAAAGCCACGGCUAACUACGUGCCAGCAGCCGCGGUAAUACGUAGGUGGCAAGCGUUGUCCGGAAUUAUUGGGCGUAAAGCGCGCGCAGGUGGUCCUUUAAGUCUGAUGUGAAAGCCCACGGCUCAACCGUGGAGGGUCAUUGGAAACUGGGGGACUUGAGUGCAGAAGAGGAAAGUGGAAUUCCAAGUGUAGCGGUGAAAUGCGUAGAGAUUUGGAGGAACACCAGUGGCGAAGGCGACUUUCUGGUCUGUAACUGACACUGAGGCGCGAAA